UUCAUAUCGAAUAGUGAUCUAGUUUUAUAAACAGAAAGUACGAAAGGAAUUAUAGUGUUACGAGAGGCGAAACGGCAAAACGAUCAACUAUUUGCGCUCUUUCGAAAUGUGUUUGCUCUCGAUGGUGAUGAUUAUUUGUCUAUGCUAACAUGACAAUGAAACGCUAAAGAACUUUCCUUUCGUAAAAAUGGAUGAAGAAGGCCAUAUCCGUCGAUGAAUGUUAGUAAAAGUUGAAGGGAUAUACCUAUACAACGAAUAGCAAAAGCCUGCCUCGUCCAUUGCGAUCAGCUACAUAUCUCACAUUAAGAUGACAUAGAAUGGGUUGGGUGGCGCUAGGGCGGUGUGCGAGUGGCGGCCGCCUCUCAUCUAUCCUCUCGCUAUCUCUCACUUCCUUUGUGAGUUCCUUAAUCUUCACAUCCCUUUGUAUCCUUACACUUGCCCUUACACUCGUCUCUCUCGUUCGUGCCGA